GAUGAACGCUGGCGGCGUGCCUAAUACAUGCAAGUCGAGCGAACAGACGAGGAGCUUGCUCCUCUGACGUUAGCGGCGGACGGGUGAGUAACACGUGGAUAACCUACCUAUAAGACUGGGAUAACUUCGGGAAACCGGAGCUAAUACCGGAUAAUAUAUUGAACCGCAUGGUUCAAUAGUGAAAGACGGUUUUGCUGUCACUUAUAGAUGGAUCCGCGCCGCAUUAGCUAGUUGGUAAGGUAACGGCUUACCAAGGCAACGAUGCGUAGCCGACCUGAGAGGGUGAUAGGCCACACUGGAACUGAGACACGGUCCAGACUCCUACGGGAGGCAGCAGUAGGGAAUCUUGCGCAAUGGGCGAAAGCCUGACGGAGCAACGCCGCGUGAGUGAUGAAGGUCUUCGGAUCGUAAAACUCUGUUAUUAGGGAAGAACAAAUGUGUAAGUAAAUAUGCACGUCUUGACGGUACCUAAUCAGAAAGCCACGGCUAACUACGUG
rnacentral:rRNA from 1 species